GAUGAACGCUGGCGGCGUGCCUAAUACAUGCAAGUCGAGCGAACGGACGAGAAGCUUGCUUCUCUGAUGUUAGCGGCGGACGGGUGAGUAACACGUGGAUAACCUACCUAUAAGACUGGGAUAACUUCGGGAAACCGGAGCUAAUACCGGAUAAUAUUUUGAACCGCAUGGUUCAAAAGUGAAAGACGGUCUUGCUGUCACUUAUAGAUGGAUCCGCGCUGCAUUAGCUAGUUGGUAAGGUAACGGCUUACCAAGGCAACGAUGCAUAGCCGGCCUGAGAGGGUGAUCGGCCACACUGGAACUGAGACACGGUCCAGACUCCUACGGGAGGCAGCAGUAGGGAAUCUUCCGCAAUGGGCGAAAGCCUGACGGAGCAACGCCGCGUGAGUGAUGAAGGUCUUCGGAUCGUAAAACACUGUUAUUAGGGAAGAACAUAUGUGUAAGUAACUGUGCACAUCUUGACGGUACCUAAUCAGAAAGCCACGGCUAACUACGUG
rnacentral:rRNA from 1 species